rnacentral:rRNA from 1 species
CCUACGGGAGACAGCAGUGAGGAAUAUUGGUCAAUGGGCGCGAGCCUGAACCAGCCAAGUAGCGUGAAGGAUGACGGCCCUACGGGUUGUAAACUUCUUUUAUAAAGGAAUAAAGUGAGGCACGUGUGCCUUUUUGUAUGUACUUUAUGAAUAAGGAUCGGCUAACUCCGUGCCAGCAGACGCGGUAAUACGGCGGAUCCGAGCGUUAUCCGGAUUUAUUGGGUUUAAAGGGAGCGUAGAUGGGUUGUUCAGUCAGUUGUGAAAGUUUGCGGCUCAACCGUAAAAUUGCAAUUGAUACUGGCAGCCGUGAGUACAGUUGAGGUAGGCGGAAUUCGUGGUGUAGCGGUGAAAUGAGUAGAUAUCACGAAGAACUCCGAUUGCGAAGGCAGCUUACUAAACUGCCACUGACAUUGAUGCUCGAAAGUGUGGGUAUCAAACAGGAUUAGAUACCCCGGUAGUC